rnacentral:rRNA from 1 species
GACAGAGGCCCCAAGCGUUAGGCGGAAUCACUGGGCUUAAAGCGUGUGUAGGCGGAUCGUUAAGUGUCUUGUGAAAUCCCACGACUCACCCGUGGAACUGCUGGGCAUACUGGCGAUCUUGGGCCAACUAGGGGCAGCCGGAACAAGCGGUGGAGCGGUGAAAUGCGUAGAUAUCGCUUGGAACGCCGAAGGUGAAAACAGGCUGCUGGGGUUGCGCCGACGCUGAGACACGAAAGCCAGGGGAGCAAACGGG